UACGUAGGGUGCAAGCGUUGUCCGGAAUUAUUGGGCGUAAAGAGCUCGUAGGCGGCUUGUUACGUCGGCUGUGAAAUCCCGGGGCUUAACUCCGGGCGUGCAGCCGAUACGGGCAGGCUAGAGUCCGGUAGGGGAGACUGGAAUUCCUGGUGUAGCGGUGAAAUGCGCAGAUAUCAGGAGGAACACCGGUGGCGAAGGCGGGUCUCUGGGCCGGUACUGACGCUAAGGAGCGAAAGCGUGGGGAGCGAACAGG
rnacentral:rRNA from 1 species